UUCUGAUCUUCACCAAAUAUCUAAUCUGGAGAAAUAAUAGAGUUGGCCUGGUAUUUAGCAGCGUAGAAAUUACCCAUCACUGCAUACAUGGCAUGAACUAUUUCUCUUCUUUUUCUUCUUUAAAGUUUCACCCUUUCUUCAAGCAUUAAAAGGAUCUCUUAUUCCCCAAAAUCCCGUGCCCACAAGACUUCUUCCCUAGGAAGAGAGGACACUAGGAUACAAGGCACUUGGUGACAGUGUAUCAGUCAAUGCGAUGGCUGAGCUGGCCUCUUACACUGCAUUAGAGUUGUAGUAUGCCCUCUUGGGUGUCUUAAGCAUCUGCUCCGCAUGAUGAUAUAUAUAUACAUAUACAAGUCAAGUUUGUGAGAAUGGCCGAAUGCCUUGUCCUUGAGAGCUUUGUAUAUUAUAAUUCUUUACAAACAAUUCUAUACAUGGAAACAAAUAAGUAUACGCCUAAUUCUAGCCCUAUACAUGGUACGUAGAGAAAGAUGGAAAGAGUUAUAUAAGGAAAGAAUAAUGAACAAUAAUGGACAGCAACACUGUCCAUUGACAGCCCCCCUCAAAUUGAUGCGGGUUGAUCAACAAGCAUCAAUUUGCUACUUAAGAAGCAAUGUCAAUGGUGUCAAAUGGAUUGAAUACCUCCAUUGUGAGGAUUUCCUUUCAUUAUAAAGGCACCAAUGUGCAAUAUAUAUGGCUAGAAUUAAGCCUAAAUUACAAUAAUCAAAAUCUAAGUAUGGAAACUAGCACCCUGUACAGAUUCUAAGUAAAGAAAUAUAUACAAUUGUCUAAAGAUAAAUAAGGAAACAAAGAGCGUAUCAUGCUAACAUCCCCCUCAAAUUGAUGCUGGUCAGUCAAGAAGCAUCAAGUUGCCGACAAGAAACUGAUGACGUUUUUGUGUCAUGGUCUUUGUAAACACAUCUGCGAUCUGGAGGAUUGGCAGCAAUCUGAAUGGCACUUGUGUUGUCAACAUGUAGAGGUGUAGGAGAGGACUGAACACAACCAAUUUUAGCAAGGAGACCACGAAGCCAGAGAAUCUUUGAACAAGCAGCGGACAUUGCAUGGUAUUCAGAUUCAGUAGAAGAUUUGGAGACAUGAUCUUGUUUCUUACUCUUUCAAGAUAUCAAGGAGUCACCAAGAAACAUGCACCAACCCGUAACAAAUCGGCGCGUAUCAGGACAUCCUGCUCAAUUAGCGUCAUUGUAAGCUACAAGACGAAGAGGAGUGCCAGUAGGGAAGAACAGGCCACGACUAGGGGAACCUCGAAGAUAUCGAAUGAUACGACGAACAACAGCCAAGUGUAGAUGACGUGGAGCCUGCAUGAACUGACUAACCUGCUAUACAGUAAAGGAAAUAUUAAGGCAAGUAAUAGUCAAAUAGUUCAUACUCCCCAUUAACUGUCGAUACAUAGUGGGGUUAGAGAGGAGAUCGCCCUCUUCCCGACGAUACUUCGUGUUUACUUCCAGAGGAGUAUCCACAGAAGAAGUAUCCUAAAGACUAGCCAAAGUAAUCAGAUCCUGAGUGUAUUUAUGCUAAUUCAAAAAAAUGUCAAAAGGAUCAGUGUGGACUUCCAACCCCAAGAAGUAAGUAAGAGGACCAAGAUCCUUCAUAUGAAGGAGGCUUGGAGAUGGUGCUGCAAUUGGGUGAUCAAAGCAGAAUCCAUCCCAGUAAUAACAAUAUCAUCAAUAUAAACCAGAAGAAGAACAAUGCCAAGAGAUGCCUUGUAGAAAAAUAAAGAAGAAUCAUAGGCACUCUGCUUAAAAGAAAAUUGAAGCAAAGUGGAGCGAAAUUUACCAAACCACACUUGGGGAGCCUGUUUCAGCCCAUACAACAAUCUUUUCAAUUUACAAACAUCCGAGGAAGAAGAAGAGGACAAACGAGCUGGAAGGGUAAUGUAGAUUUCUUCUUUGAGAUCACCAUGAAGAAAGGCAUUUUUGACAUUCAUCUGAUGAAGAGGCUAGCCUUGGGAGACAGCAACAGAGAGAAUAGUCCGAACUGUAGUCAUCUUGGCAACCGGAGCAAAAGUCUCCUCAUAGUCCACCCCAUACUCUUGCCGAUUGCCAAGUGCAACCAACCAGGCCUUAUACCGAUCCAGAGUCCCAUCAGAACGCAGCUUGAUGGAAUAGACCCAUUUGCAACCAAUGGCUUUCACCAAAGCAGGACAAGGGACAACAUCCCAUGUAUGAUUAUCCUGAAGAGUCCGAAGUUCCUUGACAAUUGCCGCACGUCAACAUUCAUGUUUAGCGGCGUCAAGUUAUUGUUCAGCGGCCUCAGAAUAACUUGAUAGGAUGGGAAUGGAGGACAGAGUAGCAUGAAGAGAGGUAUGAGAUAAACCAUACCGGUCUGGUGGACGAGAUACUCUAGUUGAACGGCGAGGAACUGUGAUAGUAUCCAGAUCACCCGUAGAGGAUUCAAUCUGAACAAGCUUAGAUGGCGGACCAGUCUCAGGUCGUUGUCUUUCAUAUACAAGUCCAGAUUUGAAUCGGUCAGGAAAAGGAACCGGGUCAUCAAAAUUAGGCAAAGCAUGCAUCUCAGGCAAAGAUUCAACAGAAGAAGGAAAGAAUGACUGAUGUUCAAAGAACACAACAUGACGAGAAAUACGAAAUCGGUUAGAGCAUGGAUCAUAGCAAAUAUAGCCUUUGUGAGAAGCACUAUAACCCAUAAAAGCGCACCUAACAAAUUGAGCAGAUAACUUAUGUUGUUUAUGGGAAGGCAAAUGAACAAAGCAAACACAACCAAAAGUAUGCAUAUCAAGGUAGGUAGGAUGCUGAUAAUAGGGACGAAAGUAAGGACUUUCAAAAUUCAAGACACGGGAUGGCAAUCUAUUAAUUAAAUAAAUUGCCGUAGAUAACGCUUCAACCCAGAAUUGAGGGGGAACAAAGGAUUGGAGUAGUAACGUAAGAACAACAUCCAACAAAUGUCUAUUUUUUUGUUCAACAACACCAUUUUGUUGAGGUGUAUACGGAUAAGAACGCUGAGAAACAAUGCCUUUUUGGUUAAGAAAAUCAUGAAGCUCACGAGACAUGUAUUCACCACCUAAAUCAGACCACAAAAUUUUAAUGCCAGAAGAAAAUUGUGUUUCAACAUAAGUAGUAAGUUGUUGAAAGACGGAGAAGAUGUCAAAUUUUGAGUGAAGAAAAUAAAUCCAAGUAUACUUCGUAUAAUUAUCGAUGACCAUAGCAAAAUAUUUAUAAUUUGCAUGGGAGAUAACAGGAGAAAUUCCCCAUACAUCACUAUGAAUCAAAUCGAAACAACGUUCAACAUGAUUAUUAUGAGAAGGAACAGCAAGAGACUUACUUUUGCCUAAUUUACAUGUGGAACAAUCAAAAGAGAGAAGAAAAUUGAUCUUUAUUGCCCAACAAACCAGAGUUUAUGACAUGAGAUAAAAUAACGGAAUUAGGAUGACCUAACCGUUUGUGCCACACUUUACACUUAUUGUUCACAGUGUUACAAGCAAAUGAAAUGACAUCAGGAAUGAAAAAAUGUAAAGGAAAUAAACGUCCAACUUUAGGCCCCCUCGCGAGUAUCUUGCCCAACACCUGAUCCUGCACAAGACAACCAUCAUGAGAAAAACGAACAUCACAAUUGUUAUCAACCAAUUGACCCACUGAAAUUAGACUAGUAGAAAGCUGAGGAGAUACAAAAACGUCUCUAAUAGUGGAAUCCAUAUCCCCAAUAGCAUGAAUAGGUAACUAACUACCAUUAGCAAUCUAAAUGUGUGCCGAUCCAGUAUAAGGCCGAACAUUGCUAAGUGUAUCAGAAGAACUAGUCAUGUGAUUAGAUGCACCCGAAUCAACAAGCCAUGAGGGAGAAAGGGAACCGUUACCUUGCAGCCCUAAGGUUGAAAAAGCUAAAAUAAUCAUCUGCUGAACCUUCUCAGUAGUAAGAGCAGAUGAGUCAUCAACAGUAGUAGAAGAAGCGAAACCCACAGUAGCCUCAUAAGCAUUAGCCUGACGAUUUUGAGGACGAGUAGGACAAUCUUUGAUAAUAUGCCCAGCUUCUUACAAUAGUUGCAAGAUUUCCGUGCACAAUUAUUAGCAAUAUGACUAUAUUCUUUGCAACUGAAACAUUGAACUGCCUGUAUGUCUCGUCCCUUGCCAUUUCCGUGAGCGACAUAAGCCACUGCAUUGUAUCAUUUUGUCGUGCUGAUAAAAAUAGCCUGGGUGGCAAGACACUACUUCUCACGAAGUAACUCCCCAAAACAAACAUCCAAAGACGGCAUGGGAGUAUGAUUCAUCAAAUUGGAGCGAGUGACCUCAAAUUCAGGGCGUAACUUCAUUAAAAAUAGAUCUCUCUUGCUUUGUUCAUGAACUUCCUGCACAACAGAGAGAGAAUCUUCUGGUACCUUGGCAUAAAUUAUGUCAGUAAAUUCUCCCCAGAGAUUAUUAAAUCCAAAAAAAUAAUCUUGAAUGGAGAGACUGCCCUAAGUAUAACUGGCAAUUUCAUACUCUAAUUGAGACCGUCGGGCUGUAUGGUCCUGAUUAUACACCUUUUUUAAAUAUUCUCACAUAGAUUUAGCAGUCUUAUAGGGCCUCAGAUUAAGAACAAUAAGAGGAUCAACUGAUGCUAAAAUCCAUGUUGUCACCCUAGCAUCUUUGAUCCCAUAACUCUUUCCCGUCACAAAUAAACGGAAUUGAAAUUCCCAUGUAGAAUAAUAUUUACCUGUGAAUUUCACAGUAAAAGAAUCGGAAGACAUGAUACUUGUAAGUAAAAAAAAUAAUCACACGUCCAACAAAGAGAAUACCUGCCCAAUUGAAAUAUGCCGACAACCAAAAAUAAAAUAAAAGAAGCUGCCGACACCCAAAAGUUCACAAGAAGCUGCUGCUGACACCAACCCACAAAGCCGAAACUGAAAAGGCAACAGAAAUUCAAAAAGCAGAAACGAAAAAGGCAACAAAAAUUGCCGACAAGGAGCCAGGAACUAGAGCCACGCAACAAGGAAGCUGAAAGCUGCAAAAAACAUCAGACCCACAACCAGAAUGCACCGAAAAUAAGAGGAGAAACCAAGAUGGCACCCAGAUGGUGCCGAAUCACCAGAACAACACCAAAAAACAGCACAAAUGCCGCCGAGAACUCCUAAGAGAAAAGCUCGAGAGAAAAAAAAAAUCAUAAGGCUAGUAACCUGCUCUUGAUACCAUGUCAAAUGGAUUGAAUACCUCCAUUAUGAGGAUUUCCUUUCAUUUUAAAGGCACCAAUGUGCAGUAUACACGGCUAGAAUUAAGCCUAAAUUACAAUAAUCAAAAUCUAUCUAAGUAUGACAACUAGCACCCUGCACAAAUUCUAAGUAAAGAAAUAUAUACAAUUGUUUAAAGAUAAAUAAGGAAACAAAGAGCGUAUCAUGCUAAAAAAUGGCGAGUGAAAGCUUUGGUGAAGAUAUUAGCAAUUUGGAGCUCAGUAGAAAUAUGUGGAAGAGUGAUAACACGAACUUCAAAUGUUUCACAAAUAGAGUGACAGUUGACUUCAAUAUGCUUUGUGCGCUCAUGAUAGACAGGAUUAGUCGUGAUCUGAAUAGCACUCGUAUUAUCUGCAUGUAAAGGUGUAGAAUCAGUCUUAGAGAAGUCUAACUCAGCAAGCAAGCCUCGAAGCCAAAUAAUUUUGGAACAAGCAAGAGACAUCGCCCGAUACUCAGAUUCGUUAGAUGACUUAGAAACUCUAUCUUGGUUCUUACUCUUCCAGGAGAUCAAUGCAUCACCUAGAAACACACACCAACAAAUGAUGGAGCGACAUGUAUCAGCAUAACCGGCCCCAUUAGUGUCGCUAUAAGAAACAAGAUGAGGAGAAUUGCCUGCAGGAAAGAAUAAGCCACGAGUAGAAGUGCCCUGAACAUAGCGUAUGAUCCUACAAACAGUAGCCAAAUGAAGAUGAAGAGGAGUCUGAAGAAAUUGGCUAACUUGUUGUACAACAAAAGAAAUGUCUAGUCUAGUAAUAGUGAGAUAGACAAGGCUACCCACUAACUUCUGGUAUAAACUGGGAUCGGCAAGUAAGUCACCCUCCUCUUUACAAAACUUGACAUUUAAUUCCAUGGGAGUAUCAAUAGAGGUAGCCUCUUGUAGGGCAGCUAUAGCAAUCAGGUCACUAGCGUACUUAUGUUGAUUAAGUGAAAUACCAGAGGGACUACGAUGCACCUCAAGACCAAAAAAAUAUGUGAGCGACCCAAGAUCUUUCAUAUGAAAGGACUAUGAGAGAUGAGUCUUAAGCUGGCCAAGUAAAACAGAGUCAGAACCAGUGAUCACAAUAUCAUCAACAUAAACCAAAAGAACAACAAUACCCAUGUCUGAUUUUUGAAGAAAUAAUAAAGUGUCAUACUUGCUCUACUUGAAUGAAAAUUGUAAUAAAGUGGUGCGGAAUUUAUCAAACCAGGUCCUAGGAACUUGUUUGAGACCAUAAAGAGAGCGACAAAACUUACACACAUGUGAAGUCGGAGAGGGAAACAAUCUCAAGGGUGGCUUCAGAUAAAUACACUCUUUAAGAUCCCUGUGAAGAAAAGCAUUUUUGACAUCUAGUAGUGGCCAAUCAUUGGAAGCAGCAAGAGCUAGAAUCAUACGGACAGUAGUCAUCUUAGCCACAGGAGCAAAGGUAUCUUCAUAAUUGACACCAUAUUCUUGAUUAUUCCCAAGUGCAACAAGCCAACCUUUAUAAUGAUCCAAACUGCCAUCAGAUCGGACCUUGAUUGAGUAAAUCCAUUUGCAACCCAGAGGAACAAUGGUGGGAGGACAAGGCUCAAUGUCCCAGGUGUGAUUGGCCUCUAGAGCAGAAAUUUCUUCCUGCAUAACUUGUUGCCAACAUUCAUGCUAGGUUGCUUGUGAGUAGGAUGUGGGAAUAUCAAAGCUAGACAAUGCAACAAUAAGAGCUGAAAUAGAAUUACCAAAAGAGGGAAACCCAUACCUAUCCGAGGUUACAGAAACUCGAGAAGAGCUACGUACCGAAGGCUUUGGAGGUGCUGCAACUGACUGAAGCUAGAGCGUGGUAGGAUCAAAUAUUGGGUGAGCCACGGGAAGAGACUGAGGGCGGAGCAUCUUGUAUACACAAUACCUAGUUUAAAACGAGAACUAACUUGAUGGAGAUAUGAGAACCACUGCUCAAAGGAGGGGAGGACCACAGUAGAAGAGGGCGGAACAGAAAACACAAGAAAGAAAUGUUAAUUUUCAAAAAGAAAAUAAUAUUUCUAGAAAUACGUGUACGAUGUAAUGUAGGAUCAUAGCAAAUAAAUCUCUUUUGACACACAUUAUAUCCCAAGAAUGCACAUCGAACAAAUUGAGCAAAUAAUUUAUGUCACUCAUGAGGAGGUAAAUGAACAAAACAUACACAAUCAAAGGUACGGAGGUUAUCAUAACUAGGUUGGUUAGCAAACAAGCGGAAAUAAGGAGACUCUAUGUGGAGGACUUGGGAAGGUAAACGAUUAAUCAAGUAAGUAGCAGUUUUCAGAGCCUUAACCCAAGACAUAGAUGGAACGGAGGAUUCUAACAAGAGAGUACGUGCCACAUCUAGGAGAUGACGAUUUUUGCGUUCAGAUACUCCAUUUUGUUGUGGACUGGCGAGACAUAAACGUUGGUGAAUAAUACUUUUAGAAGCCAAGAAUGCCUAAAACUAAGUAGACAAAUAUUCACCACCGGAAUCUGUGCGUAAUGUCUUAAUAGAAGCAAAAAAUUGAUUAUCAACAUAUGCAAAAAACUCAAUGAAAGAACGAAAAACCUUAGAUUUAGAGCGAAGAAAAUAGACCUAAGUAAAUCUGCUAUGAUCAUCAAUGAAAGUCACAUAAUAUUUAAAUUUUUCAUGUAAACUAAUCGAGGAAAGUCCCCAAACAUCACUAUGAAUAAGAUCAAAGCAGUGAGAGGCUCCACUAGCAUGCAAAGGAAAGGGAAGAGUUUUGCUUUUACCAAGUUUGCAAGAUGCACACUCAAGAGAUAAAUAAGCAUAUUCUUUAUUACCAAGUAAAUCAGAAUUCAAUACAUUAGAUAAGAUCUGAGUAUUGGGAUGGCCUAAAUGACGAUGCCACACCAUACUAAGAUCUGGAACAUUAUUACAAGCAAAAGACUUAAUAAAAGAAACUGGAGACAUUGUUGGAACAAGCAGAAGUAGUGGAAACAAGCUCCCUACUUUAUGUCCCUUCGCAAUUAGCUCCCCUAUUAUCUGGUCCUGCACAACACAACCAUUAAUAGAAAAAUUAACAGCACAAUUGUUAUCAACUAAUUGACCAACAGAAAGAAGAUUCGUGGAAAGCUGAGGAGCAAGAAACACAUAAGUGAACUUAGAAAAGGCAUCUCCAACCGCAGCUAUGGGCAAAGAACUGCCAUUGGCAGUCUAAAUAGUAGAUUGACCAGCGUAGGGCCGAACAUGACAUAGAAGAGAUUAUUCAUCAAGUGAUUAGAAGCCCCUAAGUCCACAUACCAGAGUUUAGUAGAAUGGUUACCUUGGAACCCCAUUGCUGAUAAUGCCGAAAUUAGUAUCUGUUGCACCAUUUCUAGUGUGUAGUAAUUUGCGGCAGGUGGUGCAAGAUCAGAGGAAGCACCAGAAGAAGAGCCAUGUGUUGCAGAAGUUGCUACUGGAGGGGCAAGAAUAAAAGUUUGAAAUGUUUGGGCCUGAUGAUUCUGGGGGCAGAUACGACAUUCUUUAAUAAUGUGACCCUUCUUACAAUAAGAACAAUAUUUUUUAGGACAAUUGGCAGCAAUAUGCCAAUAUUUCUUGCAGCAAAAACACUGCAAGUUUUUAGAUAUCAUAGGUGGUCCUCGCCCUUGGGCAGCAUAAGCCACAAUGGGCGAUCCUGAACUGCCAUGGGAAUGCUCCAGAGUAGCUUGAGUAUUAAGAUGUUAUUCUUCGCGAAGUAACUCACCAAGACAAACAUCAAGAGAAGGAACAGGAGAGCGAUUCAGCAGAGAGGAACGAAUAGAUUCAAAUUCGGGACGUAGUUUCAUAAGAAACUGAUCACGACGACUAGUCUCGUGAAGUUUCUGAAUAAUGGAAAGAGCGGCAACAGGAAAAUCCGCAGUAACCAACUCAGCAUAUUCGUUCCAAAGGGUCAGAAAACCCGAAUAGUAAUCUUGGAUGGAAAGAGUGUCAUGUAGAAACAUAACAAUCACAUGCUCUAAUUGAAAACGACGAGCAACAUUAUCUUGAUGAUAAACUCUCUUUAAGUAAGUCUACAUGGAUUGUGCGGUGCGAUGAGGCCGCAAGUUGGUGACAAUAUGUGACUCAACUGAGCCAAGAAGCCAAGACAUAAUCUGAGCAUCAAGCACAGCCCAAGAAGGAGAAGAUUCUGGUUCCCUGGAUUUAUCAGGAUUAGGUUUGCAAUCCGUGCCAUCAAUAUGGCCCCAGAGAUCUUUUCCCUUGAGGAAAAUUUCAAAUUGAAAAGCCCAAGUAGAGUAAUUUUUUCCCAUCAACUUGAUGCACACGGGUGCGGAAUCCAUCGUAAAGAAACGAAAGCUGAGACAAAAGCCAAAAAAACCGAAGGCCGAAAUAACCAAAAAAAGGAACCAAAGCCGAGAAGCAAAUAGCACCCAAUAUUAAUGGUUCCGAGAAGCAAGAGCACAAAAAAAAAUUUGUAAACAGCAAAAUGAGAAGCAAGAGCACCGAAAAAUAAUGUAGGCAGCAAAAGAACGUGAGACCAAAGAACCAAAACUUGCAAGAUGUGUCGCACAACACCUGCUAACAGCCACAUAGGACUGUUUUGAGAGCCACACCUACAGAAGAACGUCGGAAAUACCACCAAAAGGUUGUUCCAACGGCCAUUCAGCCACAAAGAUGCCGAAAAAGACCAGGGAAGACUGCACCAACAGCCACCUUGUCUGUAAACCACCGAAAGACUUGCACCAAAAGAA